rnacentral:rRNA from 1 species
AUUGAACGCUGGCGGAAUGCUUUACACAUGCAAGUCGAACGGCAGCACGGACUUCGGUCUGGUGGCGAGUGGCGAACGGGUGAGUAAUGUAUCGGAACGUGCCCAGUCGUGGGGGAUAACGUAGUGAAAAUUACGCUAAUACCGCAUACGAUCUAUGGAUGAAAGCGGGGGAUCGCAAGACCUCGCGCGAUUGGAGCGGCCGAUAUCAGAUUAGGUAGUUUGUGGGGUAAAGGCCCACCAAGCCAACGAUCUGUAGCUGGUCUGAGAGGACGACCAGCCGCACUGGAACUGAGACACGGUCCAGACUCCUACGGGAGGCAGCAGUGGGGAAUUUUGGACAAUGGGCGAAAGCCUGAUCCAGCCAUUCCGCGUGCAGGAUGAAGGCCCUCGGGUUGUAAACUGCUUUUGUACAGAGCGAAAAGGUUUCUACUAAUACUAGGAGCUCAUGACGGUACUGUAAGAAUAAGCACCGGCUAACUACGUGCCAGCCGCCGCCGUAA